rnacentral:rRNA from 1 species
UACAGAGGGUGCGAGCGUUGUCCGGAUUUAUUGGGUUUAAAGGGUGCGUAGGCGGAUACUUAAGUCAGGGGUGAAAGACGGCCGCUCAACGGUCGCAGUGCCUUUGAUACUGGGUAUCUUGAGUGCAGACGAGGUCUGUGGAAUGGAUGGUGUAGCGGUGAAAUGCUUAGAUACCAUCCAGAACACCAAUUGCGAAGGCAGCAGACUAGGGUGCAACUGACGCUGAGGCACGAAAGUGCGGGGAUCAAACAGG